rnacentral:snRNA from 1 species
UUUAACUUCGGCUCGACAUAUACCAGAAUUAGAGAGAUACAGCAAAGAUUAGCAUGGCCCUUGCGCAAGAUUAAUACGCUAAACCUAGAGUGUUCCACAUUUGUU